rnacentral:lncRNA from 1 species
UAUAACAUCAAUGUUGUACCGGUACACUUUGCCCAGAUUUCAAAUUUGCAUCAUUUUCGAUUCUAUUUCGCGCCAGUCGAUGCUAAAACCCUUCUAACCCUUCUUAAACUCACCUUUAACCUUUCCAACAUUGUUGGAACAAUAAUUGAAACUUGUCCAAUUAUUCCUUUCGCGCACUUUAGUCAAUUUGGCUAAAGUUCGAUAUUUUCUACCGAGUUUCGGUACGUUACAUAAAAUCUAAGGUUUUUAUAGUAAUUUUUAUAAAGAUGGAGGAUUGUCGAUCGUGUAAUUGGACUGUUUUUUCAACAGAAUAAAAAUCAUCACUUUUAAGGAUUAUCUGUCACGCCCCGGGACCCGGCCGAGAUCUGCCUGGUACGUGACCAGACCCGCCAUAUGCCUA